rnacentral:lncRNA from 1 species
GAGUUAUAAGCCAAAAACUGCAUUUUACCCCUAUGUUCUAUUUUUAGACGUGGCGGCCAUCUUGGUUGGUUGGCCGGGUCACCGGAUACAUUUUUUAAACUAGAUACCCCAAUGAUGAUUGUGGCCAAGUUUGGUUUAAUUUGGCCGAGUAGUUUCAGAGGAGAAGAUUUUUGUAAAAGUUAACGACGCAGGACGACGACGGACGCAGGACGACGACGGACGACGGACGCAAAGUG